GACGAACGCUGGCGGCGUGCCUAAUACAUGCAAGUCGAGCGAAGUUUUUCUGGUGCUUGCACUAGAAAAACUUAGCGGCGAACGGGUGAGUAACACGUAAAGAACCUGCCUCAUAGACUGGGACAACUAUUGGAAACGAUAGCUAAUACCGGAUAACAGUAUUUCUCGCAUGAGAGAUAUUUAAAAGUUGGUUCUGCUAACACUAUGAGAUGGCUUUGCGGUGCAUUAGCUAGUUGGUGGGGUAAAGGCCCACCAAGGCGACGAUGCAUAGCCGACCGGAGAGGGUGAUCGGCCACACUGGGACUGAGACACGGCCCAGACUCCUACGGGAGGCAGCAGUAGGGAAUCUUCCGCAAUGGGCGAAAGCCUGACGGAGCAACGCCGCGUGAGUGAAGAAGGAUUUCGGUUCGUAAAGCUCUGUUGUUAGGGAAGAAUGGAUAUGUAGUAACUAUACAUGUAAGAGACGGUACCUAACCAGAAAGCCACGGCUAACUACGUG
rnacentral:rRNA from 1 species